AUUGAACGCUGGCGGCAUGCUUUACACAUGCAAGUCGAACGGUAACAGGGUGCUUGCACCGCUGACGAGUGGCGAACGGGUGAGUAAUGCGUCGGAACGUGCCGAGUAGUGGGGGAUAACGCAGCGAAAGUUGUGCUAAUACCGCAUACGUACUGAGGUAGAAAGUGGGGGACCUUCGGGCCUCACGCUAUUCGAGCGGCCGACGUCUGAUUAGCUAGUAGGUGAGGUAAAGGCUCACCUAGGCGACGAUCAGUAGCGGGUCUGAGAGGAUGAUCCGCCACACUGGGACUGAGACACGGCCCAGACUCCUACGGGAGGCAGCAGUGGGGAAUUUUGGACAAUGGGCGAAAGCCUGAUCCAGCCAUGCCGCGUGUCUGAAGAAGGCCUUCGGGUUGUAAACCGCUUUUGUCAGGGAAGAAACGCUCUGGGUUAAUACCUCGGGGUAAUGACGGUACCUGAAGAAUAAGCACCGGCUAACUACGUGCCAGCCGCCGCAGUAA
rnacentral:rRNA from 1 species